AUGGCGAUCCCGCAGAGGCCCUUCUUAUCCUUGACGUCGCGCUCCAUGCGGAUGUACCCCCGGCGCAGUACCGACGCGUCGGGCCAUGGACGCCAAGGCGGUUCGGGUCCUCCUCCUCCUCUUCCUUCUCCCGAUCCUCGUCGCACUCUUCCGGCACUCCGGCCCUGCUCGGCGUCAAGGCCGAGCCCGCGGCGGAGUCGCCUCUCGGCUGGCGCACUCGCAGCGCCGGCAUCGUCAUCAACGAGGGCGGCCGGCGCGCCUCCUCCUCGUCGGCUCCUCCGCGCUUCGUCAAACCAGUGGCUUCUUCAUGUAUUUUUGAAGGCAAUGUCCCAGACGACACCCAUUUCAGCAAUCACCGAUGGGGACGGUGCAAUGGCUAAAGCACAUGAAUACCACAAACAACAUGCCUGA
rnacentral:rRNA from 1 species